rnacentral:misc_RNA from 1 species
UGGGCUAAAUCCGGCCUGCCGGCUCCUGAAAGGGAGCUUUCCUUCGGGACGGGCCGGAAGGUGCUGCAUGGCUGUCGUCAGCUCGUGCCGUGAGGUGUUGCCUUAAGUGGCGCAACGAGCGCAACCCCUGUGGUUAGUUACCAGCACGUGAUGGUGGGGACUCUAGCCAGACUGCCUACGCAAGUAGUGAGGAAGGUGGGGAUGACGUCAGCCUAUCGAGA